rnacentral:RNase_P_RNA from 5 species
UAAGUAGACUGAGUAAUCGUAAGUAGAGUAUAGACUCUAUUUGAGGAAAGUCCGAGCUCUAUAGGGCAGGGUGCUGGAUAACGUCCAGCCAGAGCAAUCUGCGGGAAAGUGCCACAGAGAGUAGACCGCCUACUUUUAGUAGGUAAGGGUGAAAGGGUGCGGUAAGAGCGCACCGGGUUUCUGGUAACAGAAACCGCAUGGUAAACCCCACCUGGAGCAAGACCAAAUAGGAGGAGGUUAAGGGCUGCUCGUCCAUCUUCUCGGGUUAGGUCGCUGGAGGUAGUAGGCAACUACUAUCCUAGACAGAUGAUUACUUUAAACGACAGAACUCGGCUUACAGGUUUGCUUAUUUG